GGGCUUAUGGUGGAUACCUAGGCACCCAGAUACAAGGAAGGGCAUGGUAAGUGAUGAAAUGAUUCGGGGAGUUGAAAAUGAGCAUAGAUCUGGAGAUUCCCGAAUAGGUUAAACUUUUUAACUAUCACUAAAUCCAUGGGCAGGCAAGAGACAACCUAGAGAACUGAAACAUCUUAGUAGCCAGAGGAAUAUACAACAAAAGUGAUUCCCAUAGUAGCGGCGAGCGAAAUGGGAGCAGCCUAAACUGUGAAAAUGGGGUUGUGGGAGAGCACAAUAUAAUCUAUGUGUUGUUAGGUGAAGCGGUUGAGUCCUACACCCUAGAUGGUGAGAGUCCAGUAGCCAAAAGAAUCAUUGGGUUACGCUCUAACCCGAGUAGCAUGGGGCACGUGGAAUCCCGUGUGAAUCAAAAAGGACCACCUUACAAGGAUAAAUACUCCUAGGUAACCGAUAACGAAGUAGUACCAUGAGGGAAAGGUGAAAAGAACCCCCAUCAGUGAGUGAAAUAGAACAUGAACACGUAAGCUCCCAAGCAGUGGGAGGAAAAUGAUAUCUCUGACCACGUGCAUGUUGAAGAAUGAGCUGAUGACUUAUAGGGAGUGGCUUGGUUAAGGGAACCCACUGAAGCCAUAGUGAGAGCGAGUCUUCAUGGGGAAAUUGUCAUUGCUUAUGGACCUAAACCUAGGUGAUCUAUCCAUGACCAGGAUGAAGCUUGGGUGCAGCUGAGUGGAGGUCUGAACCGACUGAUGUUGAAAAAUCAGCGAAUGAGUCGUGGUUAGGGGUGAAAUGCCACUCGAACCCAGAGCUAGUUGGUUCUCCCUGAAAUGCGUUGAGGUGCAACAAUUGACUGGACCAUCUAGGGGUAAAGCAUUGUUUCAAUAUAGGCCGCAAGAGCAGUACAAAAUUGAGGCAAACUCUGAAUACUAGAUUUCCCCAAUAAAGGGGGUAAAGGUCAGCCAGUGAGACGAUGGGGGAUAAGCUUCAUCGUCGAGAGGAAAACAGCCCAGAUCAUUAGCUAAGGCCCCUAAAUGACCGCUCAGUGAUGAAGGAAGUACGAGUGUAAAGACAGCCAGGAGGUUUUCCUAGAAGCAACCAACCUUGAAAGAUUGCGUAAUAGCUCACCGAUCGAGCACUCUUGCGUUGAAUAUGAAUGGGACUAAGCGAUCUGUUGAAGUUGUUGGAUGUAAAAAUACAUCGAUAGGGGAGCAUUCUACCUCAGAGGGAAGCACCGGUGCGGGCAGGUGUGGAUGAAGCGGAAGCGAGAAUGUCAGCUUGAGUAAUGCAAACAUUGG
rnacentral:ncRNA from 1 species